AACGUAGGACGCAAGCGUUAUCCGGAGUUACUGGGCGUAAAGCGCGGGCAGGCGGUCGAUCAAGUCUGAUGUGAAAUCUCCUCGCUCAACGGGGAGCAGCCAUUGGAAACUGGGCGACUGGAGUCUGACAGAGGUAGGCGGAAUUCCGGGUGGAGUGGUGAAAUGCGUAGAGAUCCGGAGGGACACCAGAGGCGAAGGCGGCCUACUGGGUCAGUACUGACGCUGAGCCGCGAAAGCUAGGGGAGCGAACGGG
rnacentral:rRNA from 1 species